AGGACGAACGCUGGCGGCGCGCUUAACACAUGCAAGUCGAGCGAGAACCAGGCCUUCGGGCCUGGGGAAAGCGGCGAACGGGUGAGUAACACGUGGGUAACCCACCCUUGGUACCGGGAUAGCCCGAGGAAACUCGGAUUAAUACCGGAUGGCCCAACAGCUUCUCGGAGCGGUUGGAAAAGGUAGCUUCGGCCUCCGACCAAGGACGGGCCCGCGGUGGAUUAGCUUGUUGGUGAGGUAACGGCUCACCAAGGCUUCGAUCCAUAGCUGGUCUGAGAGGACGAUCAGCCACACUGGGACUGAGACACGGCCCAGACUCCUACGGGAGGCAGCAGUGGGGAAUCUUGCGCAAUGGGCGAAAGCCUGACGCAGCGACGCCGCGUGGGGGAAGAAGGCUUUCGGGUGUAACCCCUUUCAGGAAGGACGAAGCCACUCGGGUUAAUAGCCCAGAGGGUGACGGUACUUCCGAGAAGAAGCCCCGGCUAACGUACGUGCCAGCAGCCGCGGUAA
rnacentral:rRNA from 1 species